UUUUCUUAUUUGGUCUAGUGAAUUAUAUGAAUUGCUAAUAGAUACCAAUAUCUUAUCCCAUGAAAAAUCCAUAAACCGUGACUUGACUUGAGAGGCAUUGCUGAAAAAAGUUUGCUUUGCUGUUUAAGUUUCAGUAACUUUUCCAUGUGCUAAGACACAAUGUGUUUUUUUUCCAUGGAGCACAAUUCACAUAGAGACAAUACGUACACAGAAAAAUAUCAACUAAGGUGAAGCAAAUGGUAGUGGCAACUCUUGCAGAAUCUGGUAUGAACCUUUCAGAUGAUGUUACAGAGAGCAUCAUUGACAAGAUAUUUCCGGAGUAGCAGUUUGCUUCUUGUGGAAUGCAGGCGUGUAUAGAUUAAAAUAUUAACCCACGGAAGAAUCAUGACGAAAACUUUUGUUUUUAAUUUACGUUAUUUAAAUUUGUGAACAACAUUAUGUAUGUAUUAUGCAACACUAUGUAUUGAGAUAAUUUUGUUGAUGUAUUGUUAUGAAUGGAAGAAUAUUUUAAUU